rnacentral:misc_RNA from 1 species
AUGGAAGAGAGGGUGCUGUCUUGAAAAAAGAGCAGCAGGAUCUUCAUUCCUCUGAAGGAAAAGAAUCAAACAAGGAUAGAAAUAAACAUCUUACAAAGCAGGAAACAUGCUAUUCAGUGGGGCGAAAACAUGAUAUCUUGUUUGACGAGGAGGAACAGACAAGGAUAAGAAACAAAGCAGUCAUGGAGAAAGAUGAUAAUUCAACAAGGAUAGCAAAAUCAGGCAACUCAUCACAUGGAGAGAGGCGAGAAGGUUUUGAUUAUAAAUUUACUAGAAACAAUGAAAAUCAUGGUCAAAUUCUCACAGGAAGAGUACAGGACACUCUAUCUUGUGCAAGAUCAGAGACUGCUCCUAGUAGGGGACUCCCUUUCAGAAAUGAAGAUGUCACUUCUGCUCGGGACACAGCCAUUGAAAAGAAUACUGUCAACUCAAAAAAAAUGGUUCAGCAGGACGCUGGAAAUAGGUUAAUGACAUCCUAUGCCAAGUUUGCUCUCCCUCCACCAUACAGUAAGUCCAAAGAGAAAGCCAUCCAUCCUCCAUAUGUAAAGCGAAAAGAUAGCAAGGAAAGAGGCCUCAAAGGUUCUAAGCAGUCUGCUUCUGAAUUUGAUGGCCAUUUCAGAAGUUCCUCUCCAUCCACUAGAGUUGAAACAAUUAAGAUCACUAAAGAAUCAGACCUUUCUGAUCAUGUGGCUCAAACUAUUAAACCCACUAGAACAAAUAGUCAUGGUCAUGAUAAAGAAUUCUCUCACAAGGAUGUGAUUUUGCCCAAACCAAGAUCUCUUAGGAGAAAGCACCAUAAAUCAGCUACUAAUAAUCACGGUGAAGUAGAUAAGUCUGAAGAUGCCAGAGGAGCCAAGAG